rnacentral:rRNA from 1 species
CGAUGGAAGCUUGCUUCCAGGCGUCUAGUGGCGGACGGGUGAGUAAUGCUUGGGAAUCUGCCUAAUAGUGGGGAACAACUCGGGGAAACUCGGGCUAAUACCGCAUAAUCUCUUCGGAGGAAAGGGGGCCUCUACAUGUAAGCUCUCGCUAAUAGAUGAGCCCAAGUCAGAUUAUCUUGUUGGUAAGGUAAUGGCUUACCAAGGCUACGAUCUGUAGCUGGUCUGAGAGGAUGAUCAGCCACUCUGGGACUGAGACACGGCCCAGACUCCUACGGGAGGCAGCAGUGGGGAAUAUUGCACAAUGGGCGAAAGCCUGAUGCAGCAAUGCCGCGUGUGUGAAGAAGGCUCUAGGGUUGUAAAGCACUUUCAAUAAGGAAGAAAAGCAUAUGGUUAAUAACCUUAUGUAUUGACGUAACUUAUACAAGAAGCACCGGCUAAUUCCGUGCCAGCAGCCGCGGUAAUACGGAAGGUGCAAGCGUUAAUCGGAAUUACUGGGCGUAAAGCGCGCGUAAGCUGUUAUUUAAGUCGGAUGUGAAAUCCUCGGGCUCAACCUGGGAACUGCAUCCGAAACUGAAUAACUAGAGUAUGGGAGAGGUAAGUAGAAUUUCCGGUGUAGCGGUGAAAUGCGUAUAUAUCGGAAGGAAUACCAG